UUUAGCAUGAAGUCAGACAAGAGA
rnacentral:rRNA from 1 species